UUUUUCUACAGGUUAGAGUCCAUUUUUCUGCAACUGCUAAGAAAAAGGAAAACAUUACAAAGUGUGACUCGAGAUGGAACCACCUCCUGCCUUUCAUUUGCACUUUUCAGAAGCUGGUGUAUCAUAUAACUUUUCUUCCUUGGUGGCUUCAUCAUGUGUGGACCUCCACUUCUGGACUUACAGACAAAGACUGUAAAGAAAUCCAAGAAGAGCAUCCCAGCACAAAAGCUUGAACUCUUUGACCUCUCAGACCUCAGGCCUGGACAAUUGGCCAAGCUGGGCUUUUUCCUGAGAACUGCCCGAGGGCAAAGGCUGAGAAAAGAUGCACAUUGUUCCCCCUGCCAUCCAUUAACUGCAAAGGCUGAAAGGCAAAAGGAUCUCACCAGGUUAUAGCAGUGCUGAGAAUGCAGCUUGACACUCAUUUUCAAGUGUUGGCUUUUAAGUAGCAGAAAUGACCUUUGGCAGAAGUCCCCCACAAAUUGCACACAGGUAAGGAACUACACUGUCC